GAAGUCUUUAAAAGUCUCUGCUAUACAUCGCUUGUAUGAUUGUUGGGGCUUAAAUAUGGUUGCAUGAGGCAAUUUUGACUUUUUCCAGUAUUCUUCAGAAGGAGAGCCACAUAGUUUAAAUAUCUUAUGUAAUUGUUCCACCUCAGUGCGACCAGGCAUGAUCGGCUUCCCAGCCAACAGCUCAGCAAGAAUGCAACCAGCACUCCAAAGGUCCACACCCACACCAUAGUCAGUGGCCCCAAGGAGCAGUUCAGGGGGUCGAUACCAUAAGGUAACUACCCUGCUAGUCAUGGGCUGCUUGUGAUUAGGAUCAAAAAAGGAAGCCAACCCAAAAUCAGCAAUUCUAAGGAUUCCAUCAUUGCCAAUAAGAAGAUUUGACCCCUUAAUAUCACGAUGCAGCACAUGGUGGUUGUGACAGUGUUCAAGGCCAGAUAACAACUGAUGCAUAUAACAUUU
rnacentral:misc_RNA from 1 species